AAACCUUUUUGCAUAUUAUUUUUUAUACUGAGCAAAUUUGUUGCAGGCUGUGCAGCACCAGGCACCGGUAAUUAUGGAUCACAGCUUCCUUAGGCACUGGGGAUAGACAGCAGACAGUGAAAUAGGAGGCAGUACAAUGAGUAAAAGGGAAAAAAAAUAAAGGAAAGACAAAAGAAAGUGUUUAUAUUGAUUCUCUCCAGAAAUGCAAGAUCUGCCACAGCCAAGCAGACUACUGAGUCAUUAAAGGCUGCAUCCUGACUCCAGGGUGCUUCAGAGGAAGAGGAGGGAAAGAGGCAGGCUGCCAACUGUUCCAUGCCCUUUGGAGAGAAUCACCUUCCUCAUCCCAGCCUGAUCGCAUCCUGGCACAUAGCACUUGACUUCUGAGUAACCUUUCUCGGUAGUGAAGACCUCAUCUCAUUUCCCUUUUCAUCAUUAGGCUGAAGAGAGCCAUGUGCACCACUGCUCCAAACAGAUACUGAGACCAGCCUUCUGCUCCCCUAUGGCCCUACACUGAGUAUCAGGAGACUGCAGUUUGCACAGCAUAGUCCAGCAGCUUCAAUAAACUUCUUAUGGUGGGCAAGCCUGAGUCCAAGAAAAGAAAAGAAGAUCAGCAUCUCUGUAAAGUAUCUGGAAAUUGAAACAAACAAACAAAGCAAACAAAGGAGCGAGGGGAAAAAGAGAGAUUGGGAGAAGAAAAAAUACAUGUAUGAGUAAUCUCUUCCCAUGUCUGGUAGCACAAACACUGAUGCUGCAUAAGAAUAAGCCAGUUUUUGAAACUCCUCUUCAUAAAUAUCAUUUCUUCAUACAAUUUUUAACAGGAAUGGAAGAAAAAGAAAGCAGGAAAAAGAAACAAAAAUGCAAUCCAGACAGCGAUCUCCCCUGAAUGACAAACCACAAAAAAACCUUUUUUUUUCUUUCAGUGAGGGGGUGGAGUUGAAGCGUUAGAAAUCCAGGCCAAGGGAUUACUUCACAUUUCAUUUAAGGAAUGAAACCUUCCAAAAAAGAAGGUUCUAUUUUGUAUUACUCAGCAGAUCUUUUUCCUUCUUAUUCGUCUAUGGAAAAUUCUUUCUUUCUUUUUUUUUUUUUCCUUCCCUGUGUUUACUACACAGUCCUGCAGCACACUCACAUACACACACACACACAAAUGACAGAGCCCUUUAUAAAGAAGAAAUCAGGCUGGCGCUGCAAAAGUGCAGAGAAGAUCUUUCGCUAAAAUGAUCUCAAGCAGAGGCAGCUCAGCUUUCCAAACUCAUAGAACUUACAACCAAAGAGCCUGUAUAGACCUCAUCAACUAAAGACUUUGAAGGAAAGGGACGUAUGGGCAGAGGUGACUUCUGGGAUCCUUCCUGGUUUCCUCCUCUGCCGCUGUGCCGCCAGCUCUUCUCAAUAUACUGCUGUUCCACUGGGCCUUGUCCUUUACUUUGUUGGCAAAUAAGAUGCUGCUGAAAAACAAAUGGAAGCUGGCAGCAGCUGAAGGCCUGUGGUGGUUGACCAAUCUGCUCUGAGCUGUUCCAGGAGCCUCCAGAGAACAAGAGAUGUGCAGUCUAUAUUAACAGUAUCAUGGGAAGACAGUUGGGCUGUCUGCCUCCUUCCUGGUUGCCUAUGAAUUGCUUCAGCCUGCAAAGAAAACAUCGUGGGACUUCGUUCAGAGAAGUACCUGCUACAUCUGAGUUUUGUCUUCCAUCAAAAUUUGAGGGAGAAAGGAUGCAGAAAUGUUCCCCAUCUCUUCUAGAUUGUGCCACAGGUAGAGUCCUGGACCCCAGAUUGCUGCAGACCAGCUUCUGUUUGCACUGAAGCUGGAAAAGACCUGCCCAUUAUAGUACAUGCUGUGUCAGAACAGCACAUCAGCGGAGUGAAAUCUCCUCAGAAGAUACUUUAAGUGCUCUGCUAAAGCUGAAUGACCCAGGCCACUAGCAGAUGUGGUGGCUUCUCCACCUCCUGAAGUCUUCAGAUCAAGAAUGGAUGCCUUUCUGAAAGAUAUUGUUUAGCUGAGCAUGAUUUAUUAGUCUCACUACAGUGGGAAAUGGGUAAAAUACUAAGACUGGAAUUACAGAGCAGCUUAGCAUAGGUGACCUGAUGACCCCUUCUGGCUUUAAAAAUCUAAGAGCUUAGUCAAAGAUCCACAAAGUGAAUACAGCUUUUUUAUAGGCAUGAUGUAAACAAGUUUAUGUGAAUGUGUGUGUGAACCAGGAUCACUGAGGUGCUGCUAGGUCAGAUCUGCAGCAGUGUAGAGUUGCUCUUCACGAAUACAACAGCCAUAAAACAAUAAUUAAAAACAAAAUCAUAGGUAGGAGCUAAAUAAAGCAGUGGCAUUGUUUUCCCUUAAAACGUCAUCUCCUUUAGAAGAAAAAGAAGAGUGGAAAAUCGUAGGUGUCUGGCCAAAAAAAGGGAGGGGACGCAAGGAUCAAAAUCUUCUGGUCUUCAGAUAAGAGGGGAAUGAAAGACUUCCUGAACACAGGGAACAGAGGCCUCGAGGGGCAGGGGGGCUGCGGCCGGCUGGGAAAUGAGCAGCGCUGUAUAUAGAAACCCUCACACACAAACAGCUCCCGCGUGGCACCGCGGCCGGGCAGCGUGUUAGCUGGGGGGCCGGCAUGGUGACCCCUCUGCAGCCCGUCUGGCCUGGUGAAUUGAACGAGGCCGGCAAAACAUCAAAAACACCCUCAGCCCUCAGAUGAAUGAGCUGUUUGUUUUUAUUCCUGAUGGCUUGAUAAGAGGUCACAGGAUGUGUUCAAUUUCUUUUUUUUUUCUCUCUCUCUUUCUUUUUACUUUUUUUUUUUCAUAUAUCAUGAAACAAUAGGUUAAGAGAGAAAAGCCCCAGCCCAGUCCCAAUAGAUCUCUCGUCCCCUGUGCUGCUUCAUUUCCUGCCUUUUUGAAGCAGACAUCCCCCUUUUGUUUUCCCCUGGCCCAGCCAGCGCGUGUCGGUGCGACGGCCACCAAACAAAUGGGUUUUGGCCACCAUCACCUCCUCGCCCCCGCCUGCCCGCCUGCCGCCGCUCACGGCUUCCUGAGGCCUGGAGGAAGAGAUGGAGGGAAGCAACGGGAAAUCCCUGCAGCUGCCAGAUUGCAAUUCUGCGGCCGGCGGGACGCAGCCCGGGCGUUCGGGCACGAGGCGAGAGAGCCUUCCUGUCGGCCCAGCCGCUGCUGGAAGUUUGUGGCAUGCCGGCUCCCACACGCAUGCCGGGGGAAGUGCUGGGAAGCCAAGAUAAGGCCUCCCACUGCCACUGCUGCGGUGAAAGUGGGAAACAAAGCCAAGGCAGCCAGCAGCAAUCCCUAGCUGGAAAGGGGACACGUGGUGUCUCCCGCCUCUGUUUGCGGGAAGGACAGGGGCUGGGCCUUUCGUAGUCCAUCUGUCUGUCCUAAAAUCAUGGUGCAAAAUAGUUGUUCAAGUCUGCCAUAAACGUAUGAGAUGUGUAGGAAAUCCACGAGUUUUCUACUGCUGAGACUUCUACAACUCCCUGAAAGGAAGUUGUAGCAAGGGGGAAUUGGUGUAUGGGUGAGAGUCAGCCUCUUUUCCCAAGUUAAGAGAGACAGGACAAGAAGUAAUGGCAUUAAGUUGCACCAGGGGAGGUUCAAGUUGGAUAUUAGGAAAAAAUUGUUCUCUGAAGGAGCAGUGAUGGAGCGGCACGGCUGCCAGGGAGGUGGUGGAGUCACCAUCCCUAGAGCUAUUCUAGAACCAUGGCGAUGUGCCACUGAGGGACACGGAUAGUGGGCAUGGCGGGGAUGAGCUGAUGUUUGGACUAGAGGACCUUAGUUGUCUCUUCCAACCUUAAUGAUUCUGUGAUUAUGUAAUUCUAAAAGCACCAGGGCUCCUCCAAGGGCAGCCAGGCUUCCACAGAACAGCAGGCAUUCUCAGAGGGAAUAGCAGCCACAAACAUGGUUGAAAUUCAAAAAGCAGCCACUGACUUCUUUGUAAGUCUGUACCCACACAGUCUGUGCUCAACAGACAGGAGUUGAGUUACAUUUCUCCUCCCCCAGCUAGACUGAGAGUGUUUGCAGACUUGUAUAUCUGGCUUAAUGUCCAGCUUAGGCUUAAAAUUAUCAACAUUAAAAAAAAAUUAAACCAUUUAAACUGGUCGUUAUGGUGCUCAGUUUUCAUCCUUGAAUCUGGUGACUUCUUGUUAAUCCCCUCAGAAAGACAUUCUUUUCAUUUGUGCAGAGACCGUGGUGCCCAUUCACAAGGCAAUGCAGGAGUUAAGAAUAUAUUCAUAUAGGCAAAUUUGAACACUAAAAUAAAAUCAUCUUCCUGAGGUCAUUGUCUCUGCAGACCAAAGUGAGGGAAGAAGUGCAAGAAUGAGCCACUGAUUAAGAUACCCCAUGCUGGGCAGGUAUCUUUAGAUUUUACCUGCUCAGCAGGGGAGACCUGAAUCCACAUUUGGUGAUUAGGCCAUGUUCAGAUCUCAGUUCAGCAAGUCCCGAUACAUUAUCCUGAUGAGCAGAGGGUAUAACAAACAAACAAAGAAACAAACAAACAAAAACAAAAAAAGCUUCCAUAUUCCCCUACAGUGUAAAAAAAAGGAUCCAUGAGCAUCUGGAUUUCUAAAUGCAUGGGUAUCCACGGCCCAUUUGCCCCCACUGUAUCAUGGGUAUAUCACAGCUCACCCACUCUGCCCACUUUCUUAUUUUCUGUGAGUCAUACAGCAAGCUGAGCUGCAUCAAAUUAAUACAUGUUCCAUGGCACAGGCAAACAAACUGAUAAUGUGGUGCCUGAAGAAGGGAGUUUCUUUCUAAUACCUGGAAAACUCUGCAUAUAGAUACAUACACAAAUACGUAUGCAUUUAUCUAUAAAUUCUGUAUACACUGAUAUACGCUUAUGAAUUUUAUGUUUUGCAACUUUCAGUACAUGAAAAGUUGCAAGUAUGUAACUAUGUUGUAUCAUAGAGCAUUUGAAGAUCUCUUAAAUUCUGAUUAGCAUUCUUGAUGGGUUCUUUCAGCAUGGUUUACUCAGGAAGCAAGGCUUAUGCAAUCACAGUCUGUGUAUGUGUGUACACGUCUGUCACCAUUAGAAAUCAGAUAAUUUACACAGGAGAGAAGUAUUAUGAAUGUCCCUAGACCAGGAAAAGCUUCCUGGAGAAAUAGCUUCUUUCAGUAUUUUCACCUUUAUUAGACAACAAUGAAUCCAACCACAAGAGACCUAUCCAUUAAAAAUCUUCAUUAGGCUUUGCUCUGUCCAAUUGUGGAGCUACUUGGUUAAAGAAUUCUAAAGAAUUGUCACGGAUUAUAAGCUAUAAAGGUUGUAACCAGAGAAAGAAAAUGCUUCUCUUAAUUCAUAUUAAUCUGCUACAUUUUUCUCUGUAAUAUGCAUAUGUAUAUAUUCUGUCUAUC